rnacentral:lncRNA from 1 species
GAGGGUGGGCGGGGCUAUGGCUGCGGCCUACCUGCGCUCCCUGCGGGCCCGGCCCUGUGCUGCCGUGCGUGGCGGCGUGUGAGAUGCCCAUCCCCGCGGCGGGGCCCGGGCCCGUGGGGGCCACCCGGUCCGGUUGUGCCGAGACGUCCGGAAGGCCUCACGGGGCCUCCAUUCACCUCCGUGGCCCGGUUGGGCCUGUGGGCUCGGCUCGUUGCGAGGCGCUGGGGCAGGCCGCGGCCCGGCAGACGAUGGCGCUGGCGGCCCUGCGCAGCCCGGUGCGGGGAGGGGACGAGAUCAGAACCGGUUCGUCCUGCCCCGCCUGGCGCCGUGCCUCGUGUCUCCAUGGGGACGACGCCUCCCCCCCCACCUGCGCCCCACAGCACACCCCCCACGCAGGCCGGGGUCGCCCUCCCAGCGCUGCUCAGCCCCGGGGAUGUGGGGCCGAUGGGUGACCCCGGUGUGGCGUGAGCAGACAUCCCCCUCCCCCCCCUUUCCCCUGGGUAUGAAGGAGCUGACACAACGCUGCUGGUGGGGUCGAUGCCUUUAUUGUGGAGCUGGGUCCGUGCGGGACCGCUGGGUGCACGGGGAGCGGGGGGUGAGCAGGGGGCGUGAGGGGGCUCUGCUUUUGGGGGUGCCACGGUUGGGUGCUGUGGGGCUGGAGCCCGGCUCAGGCGUUCUCCCAGAAGAAGGUGUUGCAGGCCACGGUGAGGGCAGCCACCAGAACCACGUACUCCUGGAAGUCCACCUCCCCGUCUCCAUUCUCAUCCAGGUCCUGCAUGAUCUUCUCCACGGCCCCUGUGUCCUUCUGGGUCUCCAGGAAGCAGCCCAGCUCGCUCUGCAGCAGCUCCUUCAGCUCCUUCUUGCUCAGCUUGUAUUUGUCCCCCUCUUUGCCCGAGUAGUGGUGGAAGACGUUGAUGAGCGUCUCCAUGGCCCCUUCCAGCUGCGACGCCAUGGCUGCGGGUGGCAGUGUUGGUGUUGGGGGGGUCGGCGGCGGUGUUACCCCCGUCCCCGUCUCAGCGAUGGGCAGAAUACGGCCGCCCCUUCCGGGUCUGCCUGGCCCUGGCACUGCAUCGCCUGCACAGCAGCUGCAGGACUGCCCAGGGUGUAAAAAUAACCCCG